AUACAGAGGGUGCGAGCGUUAAUCGGAAUUACUGGGCGUAAAGCGCGCGUAGGCGGCUAUGUAAGUCGGAUGUGAAAGCCCCGGGCUUAACCUGGGAAUUGCAUUCGAAACUGCAUGGCUAGAGUCUGGUAGAGGGAAGUGGAAUUUCCGGUGUAGCGGUGAAAUGCGUAGAUAUCGGAAGGAACAUCAGUGGCGAAGGCGGCUUCCUGGACCAAGACUGACGCUCAGGUGCGAAAGCGUGGGGAGCAAACAGGAUUAGAUACCCCGGUAGUCC
rnacentral:rRNA from 1 species